rnacentral:tRNA from 1 species
GCGGCCGGUGAAGCGGUGUUGCUGGGCUUUGCCUGCGAUGCGGGGGUGGCCCGCAACCAGGGGCGCGUCGGCGCGGCCGCCGGCCCUGCCGCG